ensembl:rRNA 5S_rRNA 5S ribosomal RNA
GCUUACGGCCAUACCACCCUGAGCACGCCCGAUCUCGGAAGCUAAGCAGGGUCGGGCCUGGUUAGUACUUGGAUGGGAGACCGCCUGGGAAUACCAGGUGCUGUAAGCU